rnacentral:rRNA from 1 species
AUUGAACGCUGGCGGCAGGCCUAACACAUGCAAGUCGAGCGGAUGACGGGAGCUUGCUCCUUGAUUCAGCGGCGGACGGGUGAGUAAUGCCUAGGAAUCUGCCUGGUAGUGGGGGACAACGUUUCGAAAGGAACGCUAAUACCGCAUACGUCCUACGGGAGAAAGCAGGGGACCUUCGGGCCUUGCGCUAUCAGAUGAGCCUAGGUCGGAUUAGCUAGUUGGUGGGGCAAUGGCUAACCAAGGCGACGAUCCGUAACUGGUCUGAGAGGAUGAUCAGUCACACUGGAACUGAGACACGGUCCAGACUCCUACGGGAGGCAGCAGUGGGGAAUAUUGGACAAUGGGCGAAAGCCUGAUCCAGCCAUGCCGCGUGUGUGAAGAAGGUCUUCGGAUUGUAAAGCACUUUAAGUUGGGAGGAAGGGCAGUAAGUUAAUACCUUGCUGUUUUGACGUUACCGACAGAAUAAGCACCGGCUAACUCUGUGCUAGCAGCCGCCGCCG